rnacentral:rRNA from 1 species
UGGGGAAUAUUGCACAAUGGGCGAAAGCCUGAUGCAGCAACGCCGCGUGAGUGAUGAAGGUCUUCGGAUUGUAAAGCUCUGUCUUUUGGGACGAUAAUGACGGUACCAAAGGAGGAAGCCACGGCUAACUACGUGCCAGCAGCCGCGGUAAUACGUAGGUGGCGAGCGUUGUCCGGAUUUACUGGGCGUAAAGGGUGCGUAGGCGGAUGUUUAAGUGAGAUGUGAAAUACCCGGGCUUAACUUGGGUGCUGCAUUUCAAACUGGAUAUCUAGAGUGCAGGAGAGGAGAAUGGAAUUCCUAGUGUAGCGGUGAAAUGCGUAGAGAUUAGGAAGAACACCAGUGGCGAAGGCGAUUCUCUGGACUGUAACUGACGCUGAGGCACGAAAAGCGUGGGUAGCAAACAGGAUUAGAUACCCUGGUAGUCCACGCCGUAAAACGAUGAGUACUAGGUGUAGGAGGUAUCGACCCCUUCUGUGCCGCAGUAAAACACAUUAAGUACUCCGCCUGGGAAAGU